CAAUAGCGUAUAUUAAAGUUGUUGCAGUUAAAAAGCUCGUAGUUGGAUUUCUGGUCGGAAGCUCCUGUCCUCUGAUGAGCGUACAAGUGCGUCCUACCAUCCUUCUGUUAACCUUUAAGGCUUUCGCGGCUUUCUAGGGGCUCAGAUAUUUUACCUUGAGAAAAUUAGAGUGUUUCAGGCAGGCUAGCGCCGGAAUACAUUAGCAUGGAAUAAUGGAAUAGGACUUUUGCCUCUUCUGUUGGUCAUGAGGCUCGAGUAAUGAUUAAUAGGGAGAGUUGGGGGCAUUAGUACUUAACUGUCAGAGGUGAAAUUCUCGGAUUUGUUAAAGACUAACUUAUGCGAAAGCAUUUGCCAAGGAUGUUUNCAUUA
rnacentral:rRNA from 1 species